AGAGUUUGAUCCUGGCUCAGAAUGAACGCUGGCGGCGUGCCUAACACAUGCAAGUCGUACGAGAAAGGGGCUUCGGCCCUGAGUAGAGUGGCGCACGGGUGAGUAACGCGUGGGUAAUCUACCCUUGGAUUUGGGAUAACUUCGCGAAAGUGGAGCUAAUACCGGAUAGACUGACUUUGUAAUAAUAAGUCGGUAAAGGAUGCCUCUGCAUAUGCAUUCGUCCGAGGAUGAGCCCGCGUCUCAUUAGCUAGUUGGUAGGGUAAUGGCCUACCAAGGCAACGAUGAGUAACUGGUCUGAGAGGAUGAUCAGUCACACUGGAACUGAAACACGGUCCAGACUCCUACGGGAGGCAGCAGUGGGGAAUAUUGCGCAAUGGGCGAAAGCCUGACGCAGCAACGCCGUGUGAGGGAUGAAGGCUUUCGGGUCGUAAACCUCUGUCAGAAGGGAAGAACGGGUAUUGGUCUAAUAGGCCUUUAUUUUGACGGUACCUUCAGAGGAAGCACCGGCUAACUCCGUGCCAGCAGCCGCGGUAAUACGGAGGGUGCAAGCGUUAUUCGGAAUUACUGGGCGUAAAGCGCACGUAGGCCGCUUUGUAAGUCAGGGGUGAAAUCCCACGGCUCAACCGUGGAACUGCCCUUGAAACUGCGAAGCUUGAAUCCUGGAGAGGGUGGCGGAAUUCCUGGUGUAGGAGUGAAAUCCGUAGAUAUCAGGAGGAACACCGGUGGCGAAGGCGGCCACCUGGACAGGUAUUGACGCUGAGGUGCGAAAGUGUGGGGAGCAAACAGGAUUAGAUACCCCGGUAGU
rnacentral:rRNA from 1 species